rnacentral:rRNA from 1 species
CCUACGGGUGGCUGCAGUGGGGAAUAUUGGACAAUGGGCGAAAGCCUGAUCCAGCCAUGCCGCGUGUGUGAAGAAGGCCUUCGGGUUGUAAAGCACUUUCAGUGGGGAAGAAAGCCUUGGGGCUAAUACCCUCGAGGAAGGACAUCACCCACAGAAGAAGCACCGGCUAACUCCGUGCCAGCAGCCGCGGUAAUACGGAGGGUGCGAGCGUUAAUCGGAAUUACUGGGCGUAAAGCGCGCGUAGGCGGUCUGAUAAGCCGGUUGUGAAAGCCCCGGGCUCAACCUGGGAACGGCAUCCGGAACUGUCAGGCUAGAGUGCAGGAGAGGAAGGUAGAAUUCCCGGUGUAGCGGUGAAAUGCGUAGAGAUCGGGAGGAAUACCAGCGGCGAAGGCGGCCUUCUGGACUGACACUGACGCUGAGGUGCGAAAGCGUGGGUAGCAAACAGGAUUAGAUACCCGGGUAGUC